rnacentral:rRNA from 1 species
CCUACGGGAGGCAGCAGUGGGGGAUAUUGCACAAUGGGGGGAACCCUGAUGCAGCGACGCCGCGUGGGUGAAGGAGUGCUUCGGCAUGUAAAGCCCUAUCGGCAGGGAAGAAGCAAGGCGGUACCUGACUAAGAAGCCACGGCUAACUCCGUGCCAGCAGCCGCGGUAAUACGUAGGGGGCGAGCGUUAUCCGGAUUCACUGGGUGUAAAGGGAGCGUAGACGGCCAUGCAAGCCAGGGGUGAAAGGCCGGGGCCCAACCCCGGGACUGUCCUUGGAACUGCAUGGCGGGAGGGCGGGUGGGGCAGGCGGAAUGCCUGGUGUAGCGGUGAAAUGCGUAGAUAUCAGGAGGAACACCGGCGGCGAAGGCGGCCUGCUGGACUGCGACUGACGUUGAGGCUCGAAAGCGUGGGGAGCGAACAGGAUUAGAUACCCGAGUAGUC